rnacentral:rRNA from 1 species
UUAAGCGACUAAGCGUACACGGUGGAUGCCCUGGCAGUCAGAGGCGAUGAAGGACGUGCUAAUCUGCGAUAAGCGUCGGUAAGGUGAUAUGAACCGUUAUAACCGGCGAUUUCCGAAUGGGGAAACCCAGUGUGUUUCGACACACUAUCAUUAACUGAAUCCAUAGGUUAAUGAGGCGAACCGGGGGAACUGAAACAUCUAAGUACCCCGAGGAAAAGAAAUCAACCGAGAUUCCCCCAGUAGCGGCGAGCGAACGGGGAGCAGCCCAGAGCCUGAAUCAGUGUGUGUGUUAGUGGAAGCGUCUGGAAAGGCGCGCGAUACAGGGUGACAGCCCCGUACACAAAAAUGCACAUGCUGUGAGCUCGAUGAGUAGGGCGGGACACGUGGUAUCCUGUCUGAAUAUGGGGGGACCAUCCUCCAAGGCUAAAUACUCCUGACUGACCGAUAGUGAACCAGUACCGUGAGGGAAAGGCGAAAAGAACCCCGGCGAGGGGAGUGAAAAAGAACCUGAAACCGUGUACGUACAAGCAGUGGGAGCACGCUUAGGCGUGUGACUGCGUACCUUUUGUAUAAUGGGUCAGCGACUUAUAUUCUGUAGCAAGGUUAACCGAAUAGGGGAGCCGAAGGGAAACCGAGUCUUAACUGGGCGUUAAGUUGCAGGGUAUAGACCCGAAACCCGGUGAUCUAGCCAUGGGCAGGUUGAAGGUUGGGUAACACUAACUGGAGGACCGAACCGACUAAUGUUGAAAAAUUAGCGGAUGACUUGUGGCUGGGGGUGAAAGGCCAAUCAAACCGGGAGAUAGCUGGUUCUCCCCGAAAGCUAUUUAGGUAGCGCCUCGUGAAUUCAUCUCCGGGGGUAGAGCACUGUUUCGGCAAGGGGGUCAUCCCGACUUACCAACCCGAUGCAAACUGCGAAUACCGGAGAAUGUUAUCACGGGAGACACACGGCGGGUGCUAACGUCCGUCGUGAAGAGGGAAACAACCCAGACCGCCAGCUAAGGUCCCAAAGUCAUGGUUAAGUGGGAAACGAUGUGGGAAGGCCCAGACAGCCAGGAUGUUGGCUUAGAAGCAGCCAUCAUUUAAAGAAAGCGUAAUAGCUCACUGGUCGAGUCGGCCUGCGCGGAAGAUGUAACGGGGCUAAACCAUGCACCGAAGCUGCGGCAGCGACGCUGAUGCGUUGUUGGGUAGGGGAGCGUUCUGUAAGCCUGCGAAGGUGUGCUGUGAGGCAUGCUGGAGGUAUCAGAAGUGCGAAUGCUGACAUAAGUAACGAUAAAGCGGGUGAAAAGCCCGCUCGCCGGAAGACCAAGGGUUCCUGUCCAACGUUAAUCGGGGCAGGGUGAGUCGACCCCUAAGGCGAGGCCGAAAGGCGUAGUCGAUGGGAAACAGGUUAAUAUUCCUGUACUUGGUGUUACUGCGAAGGGGGGACGGAGAAGGCUAUGUUGGCCGGGCGACGGUUGUCCCGGUUUAAGCGUGUAGGCUGGUUUUCCAGGCAAAUCCGGAAAAUCAAGGCUGAGGCGUGAUGACGAGGCACUACGGUGCUGAAGCAACAAAUGCCCUGCUUCCAGGAAAAGCCUCUAAGCAUCAGGUAACAUCAAAUCGUACCCCAAACCGACACAGGUGGUCAGGUAGAGAAUACCAAGGCGCUUGAGAGAACUCGGGUGAAGGAACUAGGCAAAAUGGUGCCGUAACUUCGGGAGAAGGCACGCUGAUAUGUAGGUGAAGCGACUUGCUCGUGGAGCUGAAAUCAGUCGAAGAUACCAGCUGGCUGCAACUGUUUAUUAAAAACACAGCACUGUGCAAACACGAAAGUGGACGUAUACGGUGUGACGCCUGCCCGGUGCCGGAAGGUUAAUUGAUGGGGUCAGCGCAAGCGAAGCUCUUGAUCGAAGCCCCGGUAAACGGCGGCCGUAACUAUAACGGUCCUAAGGUAGCGAAAUUCCUUGUCGGGUAAGUUCCGACCUGCACGAAUGGCGUAAUGAUGGCCAGGCUGUCUCCACCCGAGACUCAGUGAAAUUGAACUCGCUGUGAAGAUGCAGUGUACCCGCGGCAAGACGGAAAGACCCCGUGAACCUUUACUAUAGCUUGACACUGAACAUUGAGCCUUGAUGUGUAGGAUAGGUGGGAGGCUUUGAAGUGUGGACGCCAGUCUGCAUGGAGCCGACCUUGAAAUACCACCCUUUAAUGUUUGAUGUUCUAACGUUGACCCGUGAUCCGGGUUGCGGACAGUGUCUGGUGGGUAGUUUGACUGGGGCGGUCUCCUCCUAAAGAGUAACGGAGGAGCACGAAGGUUGGCUAAUCCUGGUCGGACAUCAGGAGGUUAGUGCAAUGGCAUAAGCCAGCUUGACUGCGAGCGUGACGGCGCGAGCAGGUGCGAAAGCAGGUCAUAGUGAUCCGGUGGUUCUGAAUGGAAGGGCCAUCGCUCAACGGAUAAAAGGUACUCCGGGGAUAACAGGCUGAUACCGCCCAAGAGUUCAUAUCGACGGCGGUGUUUGGCACCUCGAUGUCGGCUCAUCACAUCCUGGGGCUGAAGUAGGUCCCAAGGGUAUGGCUGUUCGCCAUUUAAAGUGGUACGCGAGCUGGGUUUAGAACGUCGUGAGACAGUUCGGUCCCUAUCUGCCGUGGGCGCUGGAGAACUGAGGGGGGCUGCUCCUAGUACGAGAGGACCGGAGUGGACGCAUCACUGGUGUUCGGGUUGUCAUGCCAAUGGCACUGCCCGGUAGCUAAAUGCGGAAGAGAUAAGUGCUGAAAGCAUCUAAGCACGAAACUUGCCCCGAGAUGAGUUCUCCCUGACUCCUUGAGAGUCCUGAAGGAACGUUGAAGACGACGACGUUGAUAGGCCGGGUGUGUAAGCGCAGCGAUGCGUUGAGCUAACCGGUACUAAUGAACCGUGAGGCUUAACCUU